AGUUGCACAAAAAGAGGGCAGCACAAAAGAGGCCUCAUAGCAACCCUGUUGGCUAGGCUGAGGAAGGGUGACUGGCUCAAAGUCACGCAGCAAAGUUUUGUGGGGAUACCAUCCCACAGAGGAGAAGUGACCAGAGGAGAAAUGACCACUGGGAGGAAGGCGGAGAGAGGAAACGCCAUAAUGUACCUGUAACAGCACAACUGAAUGCUUUCAUCUGCCCCAGCUGCAAUAAAACAUGUCUCUCCCA